rnacentral:rRNA from 1 species
CAGCAGCCGCGGUAAUACAGAGGGUGCAAGCGUUAAUCGGAAUUACUGGGCGUAAAGCGCGCGUAGGUGGUUUGUUAAGUUGGAUGUGAAAGCCCCGGGCUCAACCUGGGAACUGCAUCCAAAACUGGCAAGCUAGAGUACGGUAGAGGGUGGUGGAAUUUCCUGUGUAGCGGUGAAAUGCGUAGAUAUAGGAAGGAACACCAGUGGCGAAGGCGACCACCUGGACUGAUACUGACACUGAGGUGCGAAAGCGUGGGGAGCAAACAGGAUUAGAUACCCGCGUAGUCCCUGUCUCUUAUAA